CAAUCACUUGUCCUUUAAAUGAAGACCUGUAUGAAUGGCUAGACGAGGGCUUAGCUGUCUCCUCCCCCCGGUCAAUGAAAUUGAUCUCCCCGUGCAGAAGCGGGGAUACUAACAUAAGACGAGAAGACCCUAUGGAGCUUUAGACACUAGACAGCCCACGUUAAAUUUCCUCUAAAAAGAGGAAAAAACAUUGUGAUUCCUGUCUCUCCUGUCUUCGGUUGGGGCGACCGCGGAGGAUAAAAGAGCCUCCAUGUGGACUGGGGUUACAAACCUCACAACUUAGAGCUGCAGCUCCAAGCAACAGAAAUUCUGACCAAAAUGAUCCGGCAUAGCGCCGAUUAACGGAACAAGUUACCCUAGGGAUAACAGCGCAAUCCUCUCCCAGAGUCCC
rnacentral:rRNA from 1 species